rnacentral:rRNA from 1 species
UACGAAGGGGCUAGCGUUGUUCGGAAUUACUGGGCGUAAAGGGCGCGUAGGCGGUACUUCAAGUCAGGCGUGAAAGCCCCGGGCUCAACCUGGGAACCGCGCUUGAGACUGGAGAACUAGAGUUCGGGAGAGGAUGGUGGAAUUCCCAGUGUAGAGGUGAAAUUCGUAGAUAUUGGGAAGAACACCGAUGGCGAAGGCAGCCAUCUGGACCGACACUGACGCUGAGGCGCGAAAGCGUGGGGGAGCAAACAGG